ensembl:lncRNA
GUGAUCCCGAGCACGCUGAUUGGUAGCCUCUUGCCAAGAUUCAUUUAAUAAUAAUACCCUGCAAAUUGCAUGCGUGAGGAAAACAAAUCAAUAAUUCAAGACUAAGUCAACAUAUGCUUAAAAAAUUAACCAGUAUUAAAAAAAAAGUAUUUAUACAUUCUCCAGGGCAAUUAGUUUAAUACAUUUGGCUUUAUUGUACAGACUGCCAAUCCAUGUAACCUUUAUUGAGUAAAGAAAAAAAUGAUAACAGGAAAUCCUCGCCUGCAAUUGAUAUUCCAAACACAACUAAGUUUAUAGUUUAUCAUUGUACUUAGAUCGUCAUGUACUUAGUUAAAUACUGGUUAUUUAACGAUUACUUCAGUUCGGAAAUCGAGAUGUCCACAUCUAAAAUCGAAACAUCCACAUCUAAACCUCAUUUCAGCCUUUAAACUACAAGUCCCAUGAUGCAUUCCACCCAGAGCUAGCGGAGGUUGGCGUGUGUGGCUGUGCAGUUCUCUGGCUCAGUGCAGCUUCGGCUCCGGUGAGGAGCGUAUCGUGUGAGACCUCUCGCUGGGACCAGGCUACUACAGUACUCAAGGACUUUCCUUUUCUCUCUAUGGAUUACGCAUGGCACCCAUUACACCAGUUAUUGGACUGUAUACUCGGACGGGUUUUACACAUUUGUUGGACUUGUGAACCGGAUUGAUUUAAAGCGACUAUGGAGCCAAGUUUGCGCACGUGGGGGAGUUGUUAUUAUUUGUCAAACUUUAGCCGCCGUCAAAAGGACCAUGGCUCCGGUUCAGGAUUGUGCGGUUCUGGAUAAGGUGAGACACAUGUCACCAACCCAGCGGAUGUGAUGGAUAUCCGGGGUGCUGGCGUGUCGGACCAGAAGAAGUCAGCAUCGGACCCAGGGGUCGCUUGGGGGCUCAUCAACGCUGGUUCAAGUAGGGCUGACGCUGACCCACCACAGGAACUAUGACGUGAUGGUAUUCGGGUUGACCUCUGGAUUUAUGAUCAAAACACGCUGACGGAAAACCAUACUGGAAUGGCAUUGAUUUGGAAUACGUUAUCUCGAUACGUUGUGGAAGGCGUUACUUUACAUUAGUAACCCUCUGAUGAUUCGGAUUAUCCAUGCGCGCAUCUCAUCGGUCAACCACAGACCGCGGCUGGAUGGCGUGGUUCACACAGUCAGUCACCUGCUCUCAGCCCUGGGAACAGUGGUCCGUUAUUCACUGGGAUCACGGCAGGUUCAUACCUCUCCCUCUCUGAGGAUGUUUUUGUCAUGCUGCACACCAACACUCACUCCCAUGUAUUCCGAUGAUUUAAAGUGUUUUAAUCCCCAUUGUUUUUAUACGAAUGAUUCUAAUCGGCAUAAUAAACUAUUGCAAUGGAAAAAGUCAUAGGAGUGGGACGGCUUUAUAGUGUCCACCUGACACUGUGCGACUGGUUUCCCCAGGUGUGAUGACUCUAGUGUAGAACAUGGGAUACUGUUGCUGCCCCGACCUGCUGUCAGAGCUCUCGCUGAGUGAUCCAGCACAGACACGAAGGAACUGUGUUGGCUGUGGUGUCUAUAGAUAGUGAGCGCUCAUUGUGAACUAGUGAAGUCUGCAGCCCUCCUGCCUGGACUCUAACCAGACCUGACCCAUCUGGGAUUGCAUGUACGCGCUGACAUUGAGAACUGACUUCUAUCUGACGUACGAAUUAAAUGGUUAUAAAGC